GACGAACGCUGGCGGCGUGCUUAACACAUGCAAGUCGAGCGGUAAGGCCCUUUCGGGGUACGACGAGCGGCGAACGGGUAGGAGUAACACGUGGGUGGACCUCGCCCUCCAGCUCUGGGAGUAAGCCCGGGAAACCGUAGGGUCGUAAUAACCGGAUAUGACUUCAUGACGCAUGUUGUGGAGUGGAAAGCCUUGUGCGGCUGAGGAUGGGCCCGCGGCCUAUCAGCUUGUUGGUGGGGUGANGGCCUACCAAGGCGACGACGGGUAGCCGGCC
rnacentral:rRNA from 1 species